CCACUUCUGAGGAGUCCCACAACAGGACGAAACGCACAUCCAGUGC
rnacentral:hammerhead_ribozyme from 1 species